rnacentral:rRNA from 1 species
CCCUUAGAUGUUCUGGGCCACACGCGCGCUACACUGACGGAGUCAACGAGUUGUCCUGCAUCGGAAGGUGUGGGUAAUCUUUUGAAACUUCGUCGUGCUGGGGAUAGAUCUUUGCAAUUUUCGAUCUUGAACGAGGAAUUCCUAGUAAGCGUGAUUCAUCAGAUCGCGUUGAUUACGUCCCUGCCCUUUGUACACACCGCCCGUCGCUACUACCGAUUGAAUGGUUUAGUGAGGCCUCGGGACUGGCGCGCUCGAGUAGCAAUACACCUGCGCGCCGGGAACUUGGUCAAACUUGAUCAUUUAGAGGAAGUAAAAGUCGUAACA